CUAGGAAAAAGCUUCAUUAUUUCACGAAACGGAAAAAGAAUAACCACAAAUUAACAUGACCUAAACCUAGGACGUUUAUACGCUCUAUUCAAGGUUGUUAAGGAGACGCUUUAUCUUGAAGGAAUGCAAAGAAACAUUUUUUUCUCGACCAACAUGGCAAAUUUCAAGUGGUAAAGAGUCCAUCUUAAGCUUGUCGAAGGUUAUCAGACAGCAAGUUACAUACGCUACUGUUGCGAAGUAUUGUGCUAGUCCCAUUAUCAGUUCCAGAAUCGUGGCAGUCAGUGUUACAUCUAAAUCGGCAUUCACACUUUUAUAUUUUUUGGGACAGCUAAUAAAAUAAUUUAACUAUAUUAUAGUAUUUAUUGUUAUCGUGAAAAAGAAUAUUUCAAUGUAAUGUCAGUAAUGUAAUAUAAUUUAUUUGUGGAAAUAAAACUUGAUUCUGUUUAA